rnacentral:rRNA from 1 species
GAUGAACGCUGGCGGCGUGCCUAAUACAUGCAAGUCGAGCGAACGGACGAGAAGCUUGCUUCUCUGAUGUUAGCGGCGGACGGGUGAGUAACACGUGGAUAACCUACCUAUAAGACUGGGAUAACUUCGGGAAACCGGAGCUAAUACCGGAUAAUAUUUUGAACCGCAUGGUUCAAAAGUAAAAGACGGUCUUGCUGUCACUUAUAGAUGGAUCCGCGCUGCAUUAGCUAGUUGGUAAGGUAGCGGCUUACCAAGGCAACGAUGCAUAGCCGACCUGAGAGGGUGAUCGGCCACACUGGAACUGAGACACGGUCCAGACUCCUACGGGAGGCAGCAGUAGGGAAUCUUCCGCAAUGGGCGAAAGCCUGACGGAGCAACGCCGCGUGAGUGAUGAAGGUCUUCGGAUCGUAAAACUCUGUUAUUAGGGAAGAACAUAUGUGUAAGUAACUGUGCACAUCUUGACGGUACCUAAUCAGAAAGCCACGGCUAACUACGUG